AGCGAACGCUGGCGGCAGGCUUAACACAUGCAAGUCGAGCGGGCAUAGCAAUAUGUCAGCGGCAGACGGGUGAGUAACGCGUGGGAACGUAACUUUUGGUUCGGAACAACACAGGGAAACUUGAGCUAAUACCGGAUAAGCCCUUACGGGGAAAGAUUUAUCGCCGAAAGAUCGGCCCGGGUCUGAUUAGCUGGUUGGUGAGGUAAUGGCUCACCAAGGGGACGAUCAGGAGCUGGUCGGAGAGGAUGAUCAGCCACAAUGGGACUGAGACACGGACCAAACUCCUACGGGAGGCAGCAGUGGGGAAUAUUGGACAAUGGGCGCAAGCCUGAUCCAGCCAUGCCGCGUGAGUGAUGAAGGCCCUAGGGUUGUAAAGCUCUUUUGAGCGGGAAGAUAAUGACGGUACCGCAAGAAUAAGCCCCGGCUAACUUCGUGCCAGCAGCCGCGGUAA
rnacentral:rRNA from 1 species